GGUGCUAACGUCCGUCGUGAAGAGGGAAACAACCCAGACCGCCAGCUAAGGUCCCAAAGUCAUGGUUAAGUGGGAAACGAUGUGGGAAGGCCCAGACAGCCAGGAUGUUGGCUUAGAAGCAGCCAUCAUUUAAAGAAAGCGUAAUAGCUCACUGGUCGAGUCGGCCUGCGCGGAAGAUGUAACGGGGCUAAACCAUGCACCGAAGCUGCGGCAGCGACACUGUGUGUUGUUGGGUAGGGGAGCGUUCUGUAAGCCUGUGAAGGUGUGUCGUGAGGCAUGCUGGAGGUAUCAGAAGUGCGAAUGCUGACAUAAGUAACGAUAAAGCGGGUGAAAAGCCCGCUCGCCGGAAGACCAAGGGUUCCUGUCCAACGUUAAUCGGGGCAGGGUGAGUCGACCCCUAAGGCGAGGCCGAAAGGCGUAGUCGAUGGGAAACGGGUUAAUAUUCCCGUACUUGGUGUUACUGCGAAGGGGGGACGGAGAAGGCUAUGUUGGCCGGGCGACGGUUGUCCCGGUUUAAGCGUGUAGGUGUGUGUUCCAGGUAAAUCCGGUUCACUUUAACACUGAGGCGUGACGACGAGGCACUACGGUGCUGAAGCAACAAAUGCCCUGCUUCCAGGAAAAGCCUCUAAGCAUCAGGUAACAUCAAAUCGUACCCCAAACCGACACAGGUGGUCAGGUAGAGAAUACCAAGGCGCUUGAGAGAACUCGGGUGAAGGAACUAGGCAAAAUGGUGCCGUAACUUCGGGAGAAGGCACGCUGACACGUAGGUGAAGUGAUUUACUCAUGGAGCUGAAGUCAGUCGAAGAUACCAGCUGGCUGCAACUGUUUAUUAAAAACACAGCACUGUGCAAACACGAAAGUGGACGUAUACGGUGUGACGCCUGCCCGGUGCCGGAAGGUUAAUUGAUGGGGUCAGCGCAAGCGAAGCUCCUGAUCGAAGCCCCGGUAAACGGCGGCCGUAACUAUAACGGUCCUAAGGUAGCGAAAUUCCUUGUCGGGUAAGUUCCGACCUGCACGAAUGGCGUAAUGAUGGCCAGGCUGUCUCCACCCGAGACUCAGUGAAAUUGAACUCGCUGUGAAGAUGCAGUGUACCCGCGGCAAGACGGAAAGACCCCGUGAACCUUUACUAUAGCUUGACACUGAACAUUGAGCCUUGAUGUGUAGGAUAGGUGGGAGGCUUUGAAGCGUGGACGCCAGUCUGCGUGGAGCCGACCUUGAAAUACCACCCUUUAAUGUUU
rnacentral:rRNA from 1 species